UACGUAGGGGGCUAGCGUUGUCCGGAAUCAUUGGGCGUAAAGCGCGUGUAGGCGGUCCGGUAAGUCCGCUGUGAAAGUCAAAGGCUCAACCUUUGAAAGCCGAUGGAUACUGCCGGGCUGGAGUCCGGAAGAGGCGAGUGGAAUUCCUGGUGUAGCGGUGGAAUGCGCAGAUAUCAGGAGGAACACCAAUAGCGAAGGCAGCUCGCUGGGACGGUACUGACGCUGAGGCGCGAAAGCGUGGGGAGCGAACAGG
rnacentral:rRNA from 1 species